CUCGCUGAUUCUUCUUUCUUUUACAAAUCAAAACUUUGUUAGGGAAAUUUCAGCAACCAACAACUAUGGUCGUGCAAGUUCGGUUAUAUAAUUUAAGUAAAAUCAGCAAAGCAAACACCUAGGUUUGCAUAUGCUUCACUCCCAGUUCACAGUUAGAGAAAUCUGCAACUCACUUCUCUCCCAGUUUCGUUAGAGUAAAAUCAGCAAAGCAAGAUACACAAUUAGGUCUCCCCUAGCGUGGGUCUCUCCUACUUUGUUUUAACAUUUCUCUGUUUCAACUUGUAAAAAGCCAAUCUGCUUCUCUUUGGUUUUAUUGCAUCACAACAAAAUUAGCCUUUUCUUCUUACUUCAGCUCGUUCGCCUUGCUGCGAUUGAUAAUAUUCAGAUGCAUUCUUGAAGUUUUCAUCUCUUCAAGGACACGAAAAAUAUAAGCUCCAAUGGCAAAAAGCUUCUGGACAAUGCCGGAAAAUGGGUUGUCUGUUUCAAUCUUACAAUUGCAAAUAUAUCAUAUGUUUACCAGUUGAUAUCCUUUUGUGUUAAGGAGAUAACUACCUCACUGCCACAAUGGUUGUCUUGAUCUUGGCCUUCUCCAUAUGUUCAAAGAAAUGGAUUCAUUUCAUGAAAGGAGGGAUUAUAGGGAACUGUUUUGGGCAAUGAUGAUGUUUGUUGGAUAACUUUUAUAAUGAUCUUGCUGGUAGACAUCUUCAGACCUUCAAACCUAUAUUUACAUCUAGAUUUCCAAAUCUGCCACAUGAUUAUCCCAAGAAAAAUCUGCAAAGGUAGUUUAUGGACAGUGUUAUGAUCCCUUACCAUCCACCAAAUAAUCAAACAUUGUCUAAUAUACUUUGCUCCUUUCAUAUGCCAAAUAACUGACUAAAAUAUUUUCAGAAAACUUUACCAGUUGGACUAUUCAUGAAAAGAUGCUCCUCAUCCUCCAAACAGGGAUAUAUAUUGUGGUCACAUUUAGGAGCUAAAGUAAGAUUAUAUCUCCCUCUAAUAGAAUUUGCAACUAUUUUAUGUCUCAUCACUUUCCAAAUAACAAAAGCAAAUUUGAAAGGGCAUUUCUUGUGCCAUGACAUCUUAUUGACUAGGAUUAGUUAGGAUUCUCCCUUAACAAGUUCCAAGCAGGCUUGCUACUGAAUAUCCCAUCUAUGUUGGCAGUCCAAAAGGGUUGGUUAUCAAGAUUCCAACUGUUGGAAAAUAUGAAUGUUGAAAUAUUUGUUAGCAGCUGUUGGAAAUAUUUGUUAAUAUGUUGUUGUCUUAUUAUGAAUGUAACGAGGAAAUAAAGUGUCAAGGAUGAAUGUAGGUGUAUGGUUGUAUUAUAUGUACUACUAUGAAAUAAUACAAGUGUUGCUUGCCCGUCUUUUAAAUUCGUGAUGUGCCUAAAAUUGAUGAGCACAUGAAUAUUGCUCUGAAGCUGAAUUAUUUGCUAGUGUCUG